rnacentral:lncRNA from 1 species
GGACCUUGAACUGCAGAAAAUUGACUUACAUGAGGAACAUACGCAACCUUGGACGCCAUGAUUAGCUGCAGCAUCUUUUGAUAUUGUAGGGUAAAUUCUUCUGAAUUAUAGUCGGUGCAUAUUUAAUUUUGAUGUAUAAGAUUCAACAGUAGUUUUGUUCAUCAGCAUUCAUAGCAAACUGUGCAUGUAAUGUAAUGGCUGUAAUAUCUGGAGGCCGUGACUUGAAAUGCUAGUUUGUAGCUUUAUAGGGUGAUUGAUGUUUGAUCUGAUGCUUGUAAGAUACAAAUUCUUGAACCAUAAGUUAUGUCAAAUUAAAGAUUUGGUUAUUUGUGAUCAUGAAUGUUUAGAUUAUUUCAUUAGGAUCUAAACAAUUGCGCGGAACACAAAUUGCAAAAAUCUUUACCCUGAAACUUAGUUCAGAGGCAUAGUGAGGAAGCCUGGAGAUUUUUCUGCAAGAAGAUUCUGAUUGUAGGAUACAAGACUAUGCCAACCUUCAGGCUCUCAUAUUUAAGUUGAGGAAAUUACAUAGUAUUUAGUUUGACAACGGUUUGCCAUCUGAUAUCAGGAAAACUGCUGUUGCAUUACUUCCCAGAUUUACUUUACGUACUAAAACUAAACUUAAAAAACGUGGCUGUCAGACUGGCGGAGCAGACAAUUCCUAUACUUUCUGAAGGCUGAGAAGAUUGAAAAAGGCACCACGCUUGUUCUUGAGCUGACCAUAGCUGCCCUGCUCAAUCACUUUUCCCUCAGAAACGAAGGCAACUGAGUCUAAGUUCUUGAUUGUGUUGAGCCUAUGUGCCACCACAACUGUUG